rnacentral:rRNA from 1 species
AUACGAAAGGUGCAAGCGUUGUUCGGAUUUACUGGGCGUAAAGAGAGUGUAGGUGGUUUAUUAAGUCGGAUGUGAAAUCCCGGGGCUCAACCUCGGAACUGCAUUCGAUACUGAUAGGCUAGAGUUUGGGAGGGGUAAGCGGAAUUCCGUGUGUAGCAGUGAAAUGCGUAGAUAUACGGAGGAACACCUGAGGCGAAGGCGGCUUACUGGACCAAUACUGACACUGAGACUCGAAAGCGUGGGUAGCAAACAGGAUUAGAUACCCCUGUAGUCC